rnacentral:rRNA from 1 species
UAAAAAGAUACGAAAGGGCACUAAUAGUGGAUGCCUUGGUGUGUAUUACCGAUGAAGGACGCGGAAGUCUGCGAUAAGUUUUGGGGAGCUGACAACGAGCUUUGAUCCAGAAAUGUCCGAAUGAGGCAACUCUAUGCGAGUCAAAUCGCAUAACCCAUACCUGAAUAUAUAGGGUACGAGGAGGGAACCUGUUGAACUGAAUCAUCUAAGUAGACAGAGGAAAAGAGAAUAAAUAAUGAUUUGGAAAGUAGUGGCGAGCGAAAUCCAAUCAGCGCAAACUUAUUUUGUUCUUAUGAUUUAUCAUAAGUAUGGCGUGUAAGCUAAUGCAAGAUAGGGGUUGAAAGUGAAUAUAAUUUUAGGCUUAAAAGCUGCAAUUUAUUGGAGUUUUUGGGUCUAAAACCGACAGUUACACCUGAGCGGAUGAUGAGAAAACCAUUGAUGUUAGCUGAACCGCUUGAAAGGCGGGCCAGAGAGCGUGAAAGCCGUGUAGGCGAAAACAUCAUUGGCAUUAUAUAUAUUUUCUUGAGUAGGACGGGGCACGAGAAACCCUGUUUGAAUCUGGCAGGACCACCUGCUAACGCUAAAUAUAAUACACGACCGAUAGCGAACAAGUACAGUGAUGGAAAGGUGAAAAGAACCCCGGGAGGGGAGUGAAAUAGAUCCUGAAACUUAGUGCCUACAAGGUGUCGGAGCCGAUUUAUUCGGUGACGGCGUGCUUUUUGUAGAACGAUCCAGCGAGUUAAUUUUGUCGGCAAGGUUAAGUCAUAUGACGGAGCCAUAGUGAAAGCGAGCCUUAACAAGGCGAUAAGUCGGCAGGAUUAGACCCGAAACCGGGUGACCUAACCAUGAGCAGGUUGAAGCUUCCGUAACAGGCAGUGGAGGACCGAACCGUAGAGCGCAGUAAAGCUCCCGGAUGACUUGUGGUUAGCGGUGAAAUGCCAAUCGAACUCGGAGAUAGCUGGUUCACCUCGAAAUAGCUUUAGGGCUAGCGUGAUGUAGUAGCAUAUGGGGGUAGAGCUCUGAAAAGGUCUGGGGCGCGCAAGCGUACCCAUCCUUAUCAAACUACGAAUACCAUAUGUGUAAUCAUUGCAGUCAGAACGGCGGGGCUAAGCUCGUCGCUCAAAAGGGAAACAGCCCAGACCAUCGUCUAAGGUCCCUAAAUAUAUGUUAAGUGGGAAACAAAGUGAGAUUUCUUAAACAGUUAGGAUGUUGGCUUAGAAGCAGCCAUUCAUUUAAAGAGUGCGUAACAGCUCACUAAUCAAGAGAUUUUGCGUGGAAAAUGUAACG